CUGGAACCGAAGCUACAGAGGUUCUGAGGCCAAUUCCACCCCUGAGGAGAAGGAAAUCUUAGCAGCCUAUGAAGGCAUAUGAGCAGCUGCAGAGCUUUCAGAUUCAGCAAUGUCCUCACUCCUGACAGACCAGGGUCCCUUUCCAGAGUAAUGGAGGAGCACCGUGAUUUUUUAAUCCAAAAUUCCCGGAUUUGAAUGAAAUGCUCUGGAAAGGCUCUGGAAAUCAUUGGGUGUUCACAAUCAUCAAUGAAGAUGUUCACCAGGAAUUGCUGAUCACUGGCCUCCAGCUGGAUGUUGCACUCCUGAUCACCACCCCGGCCAGCAGAUUUCAACCAGCCUGCUGUCUGCUCAUCCAGCCCAUACUU